rnacentral:rRNA from 1 species
CAGUAGCCGCGGGAAUACGUAGGUGGCAAGCGUUGUCCGGAAUUAUUGGGCGUAAAGGGCUCGCAGGCGGUUUCUUAAGUCUGAUGUGAAAGCCCCCGGCUCAACCGGGGAGGGUCAUUGGAAACUGGGGAACUUGAGUGCAGAAGAGGAGAGUGGAAUUCCACGUGUAGCGGUGAAAUGCGUAGAGAUGUGGAGGAACACCAGUGGCGAAGGCGACUCUCUGGUCUGUAACUGACGCUGAGGAGCGAAAGCGUGGGGAGCGAACAGGAUUAGAUACCCAGUAGUCCCUGUCUCUUAUACC